rnacentral:tRNA from 1 species
GCAUCGGUUGUUCAGUGGUAGAAUGCUCGCCUGCCACGCGGGCGGCCAGGGUUCGAUUCCCGGCCGAUGCA